GAACGGGAAAACAGGGGCAACUCUGUGAGUACAGUGGCGUACGGGUGAGUAACACGUGACUACCUACCCUCGAGUGGGGGAUAACCCCGGGAAACCGGGGCUAAUACCGCAUAACAUCGCAAGAUCAAAGGAGCAAUUCGCUUGAGGAGGGGGUCGCGGCUGAUUAGCUAGUUGGUGAGGUAACGGCCCACCAAGGCGAUGAUCGGUAGCCGGCCUGAGAGGGCGCACGGCCACACUGGAACUGAAACACGGUCCAGACUCCUACGGGAGGCAGCAGUGGGGAAUUUUGCGCAAUGGGGGAAACCCUGACGCAGCAACGCCGCGUGGAGGAUGAAGUCCCUUGGGACGUAAACUCCUUUCGACCCGGACGAUAAUGACGGUACGGGUGGAAGAAGCACCGGCUAACUUCGUGCCAGCAGCCGCGGUAAU
rnacentral:rRNA from 1 species